rnacentral:rRNA from 1 species
GACGAACGCUGGCGGCGUGCCUAAUACAUGCAAGUCGAACGCUGAAGGAGGAGCUUGCUUCUCUGGAUGAGUUGCGAACGGGUGAGUAACGCGUAGGUAACCUGCCUGGUAGCGGGGGAUAACUAUUGGAAACGAUAGCUAAUACCGCAUAAUAGUAGAUGUUGCAUGACAUUUGCUUAAAAGGUGCAAUUGCAUCACUACCAGAUGGACCUGCGUUGUAUUAGCUAGUUGGUGGGGUAACGGCUCACCAAGGCGACGAUACAUAGCCGACCUGAGAGGGGGAUCGGCCACACUGGGACUGGGACACGGCCCAGACUCCUACGGGAGGCAGCAGUAGGGAAUCUUCGGCAAUGGACGGAAGUCUGACCGAGCAACGCCGCGUGAGUGAAGAAGGUUUUCGGAUCGUAAAGCUCUGUUGUAAGAGAAGAACGAGUGUGAGAGUGGAAAGUUCACACUGUGACGGUAUCUUACCAGAAAGGGACGGCUAACUACGUG